GAUGAACGCUAGCGGCAGGCUUAAUACAUGCAAGUCGAGGGGCAGCAUGAUUGUAGCAAUACAAUUGAUGGCGACCGGCAAACGGGUGCGGAACACGUACACAACCUUCCAACAAGUGGGGGAUAGCCCAGAGAAAUUUGGAUUAAUACCCCGUAACAUAGCGAUGUGGCGUCACAUUGUUAUUAUAGAUUUUUCGCUUAUUGAUGGGUGUGCGGCUGAUUAGAUAGUUGGCGGGGUAACGGCCCACCAAGUCUACGAUCAGUAGCUGAUGUGAGAGCAUGAUCAGCCACACGGGCACUGAGACACGGGCCCGACUCCUACGGGAGGCAGCAGUAAGGAAUAUUGGACAAUGGACGCAAGUCUGAUCCAGCCAUGCCGCGUGAAGGAUUAAGGUCCUCUGGAUUGUAAACUUCUUUUAUAAGGGACGAAAAAAGGCUUUUCUAAGUCGUCUGACGGUACCUUAUGAAUAAGCACCGGCUAACUCCGUGCCAGCCGCCGCGGUAACAC
rnacentral:rRNA from 1 species